UUAGAGUUUGAUCCUGGCUCAGAUUGAACGCUGGCGGCAUGCCUAACACAUGCAAGUCGAACGAGGUUGACUUCGGUCAACCUAGUGGCGGACGGGUGAGUAAUACGUGGGAAUCUGCCUCGUAGUGGGGGAUAACGUAGGGAAACUUACGCUAAUACCGCAUACGCUCUACGGAGGAAAGGGGGGGAUCUUCGGACCUCUCGCUAUGAGAUGAGCCCACGUCUGAUUAGCUAGUUGGUGGGGUAAAGGCCUACCAAGGCGACGAUCAGUAGCCGGCCUGAGAGGGUGGACGGCCACACUGGGACUGAGACACGGCCCAGACUCCUACGGGAGGCAGCAGUGGGGAAUAUUGGACAAUGGGCGAAAGCCUGAUCCAGCAAUGCCGCGUGUGUGAAGAAGGCCUGCGGGUUGUAAAGCACUUUAAGUGGGGAAGAACGGGAUUGUGCUAAUACCGCGAUCCUUUGACGUUACCCACAGAAUAAGCACCG
rnacentral:rRNA from 1 species